ensembl:lncRNA
GGGACCUGUUAUAACCAGAUGACUUCCAGAGGGUUUGGGCCAUCAGAACAACUCUACACAUGAUUCUAAUAUGUCACAAAGAUGCUAUUUUUCAUGGUCAUUUCAGGUUUAGAAGAAUUAACUGUUAAACACUUCUGUUGCUUGUCUUCCAGGUGAAAUCAUCAGUCAGACCCAUUGCCUUAAAGCUCAGAAAACAUAAAAAACUCACCCCCACCAGAGACUUCCUUGGUGGUCCAGUGGUUAAGAAAUCUGCCUUGCAAUGCAGGGGACAUGGGUUCUAUCACUGGUUGGGAAACAAAGAUCCCACAUGCCUUGAAGCAACUAAGUCCAUGUAGCCCGUGAACCACAACGCCAUGACGAAAGAUCCUAAGACCCGACACAGCCAAAUAAAUCAUUUUUUUUUAAUGCACCCCUGCUGAAAGAUCAUCGUUUGCUGCCAAGUGGCCCAAUAUGAACACACAGACUGGAGGUCUUGAGGGGGAAGGGGACUUUGAGAGGCUCUUCAGACCAGAAUUCUGAAAGCUUGCCCAGACUGAGUCAACCACGUCACUCUCCUAAAUCAUACGGAUUUCCUUAUGAGUGUUUCCUCUCUAAAGCAAGACAGAAAGGACAGCCAUGCGCACGCGCUCAUGACCCUCAGCUGUUUCCACGGCCGGUGACAGGAACGACUGUGGCCUGGAAUGGCUCCCAAGCAGGCUUCCACGCCAGCAGUGAUACGUCACCAGUUUUCUUCUGGGUGAUCUGUAUAUAUCACCAGAAGGAAGGAUGGACGCUGCCCUGACAAGAACACCAAGAACAUUAACAGUGCUGCUUUCUUCUGCAGGUGAGUGGCUGUCAGGAACA